rnacentral:rRNA from 1 species
GAUGAACGCUAGCGGCAGGCCUAAUACAUGCAAGCCGAACGGUAAUUCUGAUAGCAAUAUUGGAACUAGAGUGGCGUAAGGGUGCGUAACACGUAUGCAAUCUACCCGCAACAGGAGGAUAGCUCCCCGAAAGGGGAAUUAACCCUCCAUGAGAUCACACGAGGGCAUCCGAGAGUGAUUAAAUUUGAGGAGGUUGUGGAUGAGCAUGCGACUGAUAGCUAGUUGGCAGUGUAACGGACUACCAAGGCGAUGAUCAGUAGGGGAACUGAGAGGUUGAUCCCCCACACUGGCACUGAGAUACGGGCCGA